rnacentral:rRNA from 1 species
AGACAAGGAGCUUGCCUCCUUUGACGUUAGCGGCGGACGGUGUGAGUAACACGUGGGUAACCUACCUAUAAGACUGGGAUAACUUCGGGAAACCGGAGCUAAUACCGGAUAAUAUUUCGAACCGCAUGGUUCGAUAGUGAAAGAUGGUUUUGCUAUCACUUAUAGAUGGACCCGCGCCGUAUUAGCUAGUUGGUAAGGUAACGGCUUACCAAGGCGACGAUACGUAGCCGACCUGAGAGGGUGAUCGGCCACACUGGAACUGAGACACGGUCCAGACUCCUACGGGAGGCAGCAGUAGGGAAUCUUCCGCAAUGGGCGAAAGCCUGACGGAGCAACGCCGCGUGAGUGAUGAAGGUCUUCGGAUCGUAAAACUCUGUUAUUAGGGAAGAACAUACGUGUAAGUAACUAUGCACGUCUUGACGGUACCUAAUCAGAAAGCCACGGCUAACUACGUGCCAGCAGCCGCGGUAAUACGUAGGUGGCAAGCGUUAUCCGGAAUUAUUGGGCGUAAAGCGCGCGUAGGCGGUUUUUUAAGUCUGAUGUGAAAGCCCACGGCUCAACCGUGGAGGGUCAUUGGAAACUGGAAAACUUGAGUGCAGAAGAGGAAAGUGGAAUUCCAUGUGUAGCGGUGAAAUGCGCAGAGAUAUGGAGGAACACCAGUGGCGAAGGCGACUUUCUGGUCUGUAACUGACGCUGAUGUGCGAAAGCGUGGGGAUCAAACAGGAUUAGAUACCCUGGUAGUCCACGCCGUAAACGAUGAGUGCUAAGUGUUAGGGGGUUUCCGCCCCUUAGUGCUGCAGCUAACGCAUUAAGCACUCCGCCUGGGGAGUACGACCGCAAGGUUGAAACUCAAAGGAAUUGACGGGGACCCGCACAAGCGGUGGAGCAUGUGGUUUAAUUCGAAGCAACGCGAAGAACCUUACCAAAUCUUGACAUCCUUUGACAACUCUAGAGAUAGAGCCUUCCCCUUCGGGGGACAAAGUGACAGGUGGUGCAUGGUUGUCGUCAGCUCGUGUCGUGAGAUGUUGGGUUAAGUCCCGCAACGAGCGCAACCCUUAAGCUUAGUUGCCAUCAUUAAGUUGGGCACUCUAAGUUGACUGCCGGUGACAAACCGGAGGAAGGUGGGGAUGACGUCAAAUCAUCAUGCCCCUUAUGAUUUGGGCUACACACGUGCUACAAUGGACAAUACAAAGGGCAGCGAAACCGCGAGGUCAAGCAAAUCCCAUAAAGUUGUUCUCAGUUCGGAUUGUAGUCUGCAACUCGACUACAUGAAGCUGGAAUCGCUAGUAAUCGUAGAUCAGCAUGCUACGGUGAAUACGUUCCCGGGUCUUGUACACACCGCCCGUCACACCACGAGAGUUUGUAACACCCGAAGCCGGUGGAGUAACCAU